AUGGACAACGCCGGGCUGCUCGCCGCCUGCCUCGCCACCGUCGUGGCCUACCUGCUCGCUGGACAUCGAUUGGUGGGUGCCGCCGACGCUCGCUGGCGCCACCUUCGUCUCAUCGUUCCCAUUGGCCGGAGAGCCAAACACGUGGCGCUCGCCGUCGCGUUGUGCCUUCACGCGGCGGUCCUCCUCUCGUCCUUCACCACCAGCAGGGACCUCGCGAUGCACCUCCACAACACGGAGGCGAAGCUAACGCGCAUGGAGCAAAUUAUCCAUGACAUAAAGUUGCUGACCUACAAACUCGCCAAAGCCGACGGCACGCCAAACUCUGAAUUCACUGUCGCAGUGGAAGAUGAUCUCCAGCCAGGUGAAACCAUGGAUCAGGAGUUUCCCAGCAUUAGUGAUGGCCCGGAGGAUGCACCGAUACCUGAUCAGCAAGACGAAGCAACGGAACCACACAAGCCAUGGAGAUUCAUCCCGGUGCCCGAAGGCCACGUCUUUGUGCCAGAAUGCGUCGGCGACGAGCUCAUAGUGCACAUCCGGCCGUCCUCGCAAAGUGACUCCGAGCACGGCGCCACCGUUGACGCCGACCAACAGCUCCCCUUCACCCGCGGAUAUCCGGAGGCGGGAACGCCGUCCUUUUACGACGGCGGUCCUUACCGCGCGCUGUUCUGGUCGCUGCCCGAGCUUGACGACCAAGGCCCAAAAAACGUCUUGCCGUUACCAUGGUCGCGGUCGGAGAUGUGGGGCAGGCUGACGGCGGCGGCGCUGGAUGGGACUUGGGCCGUAAACCCCCCGAUUAUACACGAACAUGCGUUACCUGAGUCCGUGACGCUCUCCACCGACGUGGUGAUGUUCUACCGGCCGGACCCGGAGGCUGGGGGAACGAAUGUGAUGAUUGCUGCAAUCGAGGAUGUGGAGCAUGUAUAUAGCAUGGAGGAACAUGGCGGCCCGGCGGUAACCGCUCUCACGCCGCACUCUAUUCUUCCCACUUAUUCUGGACUUCCCUAG
rnacentral:rRNA from 1 species